rnacentral:rRNA from 1 species
UACGGAGGGAGCUAGCGUUGUUCGGAAUUACUGGGCGUAAAGCGCACGUAGGCGGCUUUGUAAGUUAGACGUGAAAGCCCGGGGCUCAACCCCGGAAUUGCCUUUAAGACUGCAUCGCUUGAAUCCAGGAGAGGUGAGUGGAAUUCCGAGUGUAGAGGUGAAAUUCGUAGAUAUUCGGAAGAACACCAGUGGCGAAGGCGGCUCACUGGACUGGUAUUGACGCUGAGGUGCGAAAGCGUGGGGAGCAAACAGG